rnacentral:snRNA from 1 species
GGAUGUGAGGGCGAUCUGGCUGCGAUAUCUGUCACCCCAUUGAUUGCCAGGGUUGAGUCCGCUGAUCUGGCAGGCUGGCUAGGUGGCUAGGUGGGUGUCCCCUUCUUUCCUCACCGUUCCAUGUGCAUCCCUCCCAAAGAGGGACCAAAGAGGAAGGCCUUUCUGGAAUAGAAACCGUUAGGUCAACAGGUCUUUAGUCCAGGGUAUGCGAGUAGCUGCGCUCCCCUGCUUGAACCUCCAAACAAGCUCUCAAGGUCCAUUUUCAUUCUGACUUAGAAAAAGCCUUUUCCGUAAUUCAAGAUCUUCAGUGACAAUCAUU